UUUACAGCAGACUGAGGACCAAAU
rnacentral:piRNA from 1 species